rnacentral:rRNA from 1 species
CACCGCCCGUCACACCACGAAAGCUGCGUGUACCAGAAGUCAUUGUGCUAACCCCAACGUGGGAGGUAAGUGCCUAAGGUAUGCGUGGUGAUUGGGGUG